UACGUAGGGGGCGAGCGUUGUCCGGAUUUAUUGGGCGUAAAGAGCUCGUAGGCGGUUUGGUAAGUCGGGUGUGAAAUCUCCACGCUCAACGUGGAGGGGCCACUCGAUACUGCCAUGACUCGAGUCCGGUAGAGGAGUGUGGAAUUCCCGGUGUAGCGGUGAAAUGCGCAGAUAUCGGGAGGAACACCAGUAGCGAAGGCGGCUCGCUGGGCCAUACCUGACGCUGAGACGCGAAAGCGUGGGGAGCAAACAGG
rnacentral:rRNA from 1 species